CAGUCGCCGCGGUAAUACGUAGGUGGCAAGCGUUGUCCGGAAUUAUUGGGCGUAAAGGGCUCGCAGGCGGUUUCUUAAGUCUGAUGUGAAAGCCCCCGGCUCAGCCGGGGAGGGUCAUUGGAAACUGGGAAACUUGAGUGCAGAAGAGGAGAGUGGAAUUCCACGUGUAGCGGUGAAAUGCGUAGAGAUGUGGAGGAACACCAGUGGCGAAGGCGACUCUCUGGUCUGUAACUGACGCUGAGGAGCGAAAGCGUGGGGAGCGAACAGGAUUAGAUACCCCAGUAGUCCCUGUCUCUUAUAC
rnacentral:rRNA from 1 species